UGGUUAAGGCUCUGGGUGGUUGACUGGAAGAUUGGGGGUUCAAGCCCCAGCAUUGCCAAGUUGCCACUGUUGGACCCUUGAGCAAGGCCCUUAACCCUCUCUGCUCCUGGGGUGCUGUACCAUGGCUGACCCUGUGCUCUGACCCCAACCUCCCAGGAUGGGAUAUACGAAGAAAGAAUUUCACUGUGCAGUAAUCAAUAAGAGAUGAGGGAUGAUGUGAUACAUCCUGACAUGAAGUACUUGGUGCAUACAUUAAAAAAGGGGCAGGUUUCAGUCGGCCGCUCGAGCCCCCAAGACGUCAUCGUUGUAAGCCACGCCCUCCCCCGUGCCACGCCUGUGCUAUGGAAACAGACAGGCGCGUGCUCAGCUGCUCCAGGAGUGAAAGGGUUAACAGGGA